ACUCCAAUGGGUCAGUGGUAGACUGGUUUCUUAAUUUCCACACGUUGGUCAACGUUUUCGAGGCAGACGUGGGUUUGAUUCCCGCUUGGAGCG